rnacentral:tRNA from 1 species
GGUGCGGUAGCUCAGCGGUAGAGCGUCGGUCUCAUAAUCCGAAAGUCGGCGGUUCGAUCCCGCCCCGCACCACCA